AGGGUUUGAUCAUGGCUCAGAACGAACGCUGGCGGCGUGGAUAAGACAUGCAAGUCGAGCGCUGAUUUUCCAGUAGCAAUAUUGGGAAGUCGGAGCGGCGCAAGGGUGCGUAACACGUGGGUAAUCUGCCUUAAAGUUCGGAAUAAUUCCGCGAAAGCGGGACUAAUGCCGGAUGUGACCGAGAGGUUAGAGCUGGCCGCAAGGCUGGCGCUUUUAGAUGAGCCCGCGGCCUAUCAGCUAGUUGGCGGGGUAACGGCCCACCAAGGCUAAGACGGGUAGCUGGUCUGAGAGGACGACCAGCCACACUGGAACUGAGACACGGUCCAGACACCUACGGGUGGCAGCAGUCGAGAAUUUUUCUCAAUGGGCGAAAGCCUGAAGGAGCGACGCCGCGUGAGGGAUGAAGGGCUUCGGCCUGUAAACCUCUGUCAUUUGCGAACAAACCUCAUCUGUUAACAGCGGGUGAGCUGAUAGUAGCGAAAGAGGAAGGGACGGCUAACUCUGUGCCAGCAGCCGCGGUAAUACAGAGGUCCCAAGCGUUGUUCGGAUUCACUGGGCGUAAAGGGUGCGCAGGUGGCCAUGCAAGUUCGAUGUGAAAGCCCCGGGCUUAACCCGGGAAUGGCAUUGAAAACUGCGUGGCUGGAGGAUCGGAGGGGGGACUGGAAUUCUUGGUGUAGCAGUGAAAUGCGUAGAUAUCAAGAGGAACACCAGUGGCGAAGGCGAGUCCCUGGACGAUACCUGACACUGAGGCACGAAAGCUAGGGGAGCAAACAGGAUUAGAUACCCUGGUAGUCCUAGCUGUAAACGGUGCGCAUUUGCUGUAAACGGAAUCGACCCCGUUUGUGGCGAAGCUAACGCGAUAAAUGCGCCGCCUGGGAAGUACGGUCGCAAGAUUAAAACUCAAAGAAAUUGACGGGGGCCUGCACAAGCGGUG
rnacentral:rRNA from 1 species